AGUACUUGUACUUGGUGGCGAGUGGCGAACGGGUGAGUAAUAUAUUGGAACGUACCGAGUAAUGGGGGAUAACUAUCCGAAAGGAUAGCUAAUACCGCAUACGCUUUGAGAAGGAAAGCAGGGGAUCUUCGGACCUUGCGUUAUUCGAGCGGCCAAUAACUGAUUAGCUAGUUGGUGGGGUAAGGGCCCACCAAGGCGACGAUCAGUAGUGGGUCUGAGAGGAUGAUCCGCCACACUGGGACUGAGACACGGCCCAGACUCCUACGGGAGGCAGCAGUGGGGAAUUUUGGACAAUGGGCGAAAGCCUGAUCCAGCCAUGCCGCGUGUCUGAAGAAGGCCUUCGGGUUGUAAAGGACUUUUGUUAGGGAAGAAAAGGUUGAUGCUAAUAUCAUUAACUGAUGACGGUACCUAAAGAAUAAGCACCGGCUAACUACGUGCCAGCAGCCGCGGUAAUACGU
rnacentral:rRNA from 1 species